rnacentral:rRNA from 1 species
GACGAACGCUGGCGGCGUGCCUAAUACAUGCAAGUCGAACGCAGGGGGGACGGGUGAGUAACACGUGGGUAACCUCCCAUCAGAGUGGAGAACACUUGGAAAAAGGUGCUAAACCCAUGCUGAUGGAUGUACCCGUGGGGCAUUAGCUAGUUGGUGAGGUAACGGCUCACCAAGGCCACGAUGCAUAGCGGGCCUGAGAGGGUGAUCGGCCACACUGGGACUGAGACACGGCCCAGACUCCUACGGGAGGCAGCAGUAGGGAAUCUUCGGCAAUGGGCGAAAGUCUGACAGAGCAAGGCCGCGUGAGUGAAGAAGGUUUUCGGAUCGUAAAACUCUGUCGUUGGAGAAGCGUUACCUAACCAGAAAGCCACGGCUAACUACGUGCCAGCAGCCGCGGUAAUUC